rnacentral:rRNA from 1 species
GAUGAACGCUGGCGGCGUGCCUAAUACAUGCAAGUCGAGCGAACAGACGAGGAGCUUGCUCCUCUGACGUUAGCGGCGGACGGGUGAGUAACACGUGGAUAACCUACCUAUAAGACUGGGAUAACUUCGGGAAACCGGAGCUAAUACCGGAUAAUAUAUUGAACCGCAUGGUUCAAUAGUGAAAGACGGUUUUGCUGUCACUUAUAGAUGGAUCCGCGCCGCAUUAGUUAGUUGGUAAGGUAACGGCUUACCAAGGCAACGAUGCGUAGCCGACCUGAGAGGGGGAUCGGCCACACUGGAACUGAGACACGGUCCAGACUCCUACGGGAGGCAGCAGUAGGGAAUCGUCCGCAAUGGGCGAAAGCCUGACGGAGCAACGCCGCGUGAGUGAUGAAGGUCUUCGGAUCGUAAAACGCUGUUAUGAGGGAAGAACAAAUGUGUAAGUAACUAUGCACGUCUGGACGGUACCUAAUCAGAAAGCCACGGCUAAUUACGU